rnacentral:rRNA from 1 species
UACGAAGGGUGCAAGCGUUACUCGGAAUCACUGGGCGUAAAGCGUGCGUAGGCGGUUCGUUAAGUCUGCUGUGAAAGCCCUGGGCUCAACCUGGGAACUGCAGUGGAUACUGGCGGACUAGAGUGUAAUAGAGGAUGGUGGAAUUCCCGGUGUAGCGGUGAAAUGCGUAGAUAUCAGGAGGAACACCGGUGGCGAAGGCGGCUAUCUGGACAGAGUCUGACGCUGAGGCGCGAAAGCUAGGGGAGCAAACAGG